rnacentral:lncRNA from 1 species
UAUAUUACUUUUUACGACAGAGAGAUAGGAAUUAAAAUCUGAAGUCUAUACAUGCCUUGUUCAGAACAAAGUGAAAAUAGCAACAUACCACCAGGUGGUACCUUCCACUCCAAAGACAACAACAAGAAUAUAAAGGCAGAUAUCGAGGUUGGAACAAGCAAACCAUCUUAAAUGUAACCGCCACAGGAGACUUGCUGCCCGGACAUGUCUUGUGAUAGUAAAUUGCAGGGGCAGCUUUAGAGCUUGCAACAUGAAGGCAAAAAAUGUGGGAAUAUGGAAUCACCAUUAGAUAGUCAUCAUCCUGUAGAGGAAAGGAUAAAAUAAUUUUUUUACAAAAGGAUAUGCAGGCAAGAGUACUGCUGCUGUAAAAUUACUGAAACUACUCUAUAGAAUUAAUAGAAUUAACAUGAUCUCCUGGAGUAGUUCAAGCAAUACUGGAGUGGUUCAAGAUACUAAUCUUGGUGCAGCACUAAGCAUGAAAUACAAUACUCCACAAAAUUAACACAAUCAAGAAAGCAUCAGCAAGUUAACAAUCUAACAAGACAAGUUUCAGUACAGCACCAAGUCAAAAUCCACUGCAAUCUCAAAACAGUGAAGUUCCAUUUUAAGCUACUGCAGUCUUUCUCUUAAAUUUAGUCAUGCAUCUGUGGAACUUGGCAGCAUUCAUUUAAGAAUGGAGUAAAUUAACUUGGCAGUAUACAAACUUUAAGUAAGUUGACUUAGCAUUCUACUGAAAUUCCACUGCAAUCUUUAAACUACUAUAACCUGUCGGAAAUAUACUGGAAACCCUCACAAAAAGUUCAUCUUUUGUACUGAGUACCUUGAAGAUGGCGUCGUAGCCGGCGAGGACCUCCUCGAUCUACGU